rnacentral:misc_RNA from 1 species
GGCUUGGUGUUGGGGCUCGGCCUCCCGCCCUCUACAGGCGCGGCCGGCUCUGAAAAUCAGUGGCGGUCUCGCUGCAGCCUCCCUUGCGUAGUAACACAUCUCGCACUGGAGCGUGGCGUGGCCAUGCCGUCAAAAUCGUGACCUUAGGGCACAUUCUGAAGGUUGACCUCGGAUCAGGUAGGGAUACCCGCUGAACUUAA